rnacentral:rRNA from 1 species
GAUGAACGCUGGCGGCGUGCUUAACACAUGCAAGUCGAACGAUGAAGCCCAGCUUGCUGGGUGGAUUAGUGGCGAACGGGUGAGUAACACGUGAGUAACCUGCCCUUAACUCUGGGAUAAGCCUGGGAAACUGGGUCUAAUACCGGAUAGGAGCGUCCACCGCAUGGUGGGUGUUGGAAAGAUUUAUCGGUUUUGGAUGGACUCGCGGCCUAUCAGCUUGUUGGUGAGGUAAUGGCUCACCAAGGCGACGACGGGUAGCCGGCCUGAGAGGGUGACCGGCCACCAGGGGGACAGAGCACGGCACGGAACCCCUGGGGGGGGGAGAGGGGGGGAAUAUGGAAAAGGGGGCGCAGGCGGGAUGCAGCGCCGCGGGGGGAGGAAGGCCGGCUUUGGGGGUAAAAACCUCUUGCAGAGGGAAAAAAGAAAAAGGGGGGUCACGUGAGAAAAGGACCGGGGCAAACAAGGCC